CCUCGGAAACGAGGCAUGUGCACGCUCUUCUGUUUUUCAUAACUCACCUGUGCACCUAAUGUAGGAUGCUCCUCCUUCGGGAGGGGGGACCUAUGUCUUCAUAUACCUCUUCGUGUAGAAAGUCUUAGAAUGUUUACUAUCAGAGAGUCGCGACUUCUAGGAGACGCGAAUCUCUGAGAUAAAAGUUAAUUACAACUUUCAGCAAUGGAUCUCUUGGCUCUCGCAUCGAUGAAGAACGCAGCGAAAAGCGAUAUGUAAUGUGAAUUGCAGAUCUACAGUGAAUCAUCGAAUCUUUGAACGCACCUUGCGCUCCUCGGUGUUCCGAGGAGCAUGCCUGUUUGAGUGUCAGUAAAUUCUCAACCCCUCUCGAUUUUUUUCGAGGGGGAGCUUGGAUGGUGGGGGCUGCCGGAGACUAGGAUUCGUCCUUGACUCGGGCUCUCCUUAAAUGCAUUGGCUUGCGGUCGACUUUCGACUUUGCGCGACAAGGCUUUCGGCGUGAUAAUGAUCGCCGUUCGCUGAAGCGCAUGAAUGAAGGUUCCGUGCCUCUAAUACCGUCGACAGUUACUAUCUCUUCGGAGAGAAAACGUCUUCCUUCAUUGACUUUUGACCUCAAAUCAGGUAGGACUACCCGCUGAACUUAAGCAUAUCAAU
rnacentral:rRNA from 1 species